GACGAACGCUGGCGGCGUGCUUAACACAUGCAAGUCGAACGGAAAGGCCCUGCUUUUGUGGGGUGCUCGAGUGGCGAACGGGUGAGUAACACGUGAGUAACCUGCCCUUGACUUUGGGAUAACUUCAGGAAACUGGGGCUAAUACCGGAUAGGAGCUCCUGCUGCAUGGUGGGGGUUGGAAAGUUUCGGCGGUUGGGGAUGGACUCGCGGCUUAUCAGCUUGUUGGUGGGGUAGUGGCUUACCAAGGCUUUGACGGGUAGCCGGCCUGAGAGGGUGACCGGCCACAUUGGGACUGAGAUACGGCCCAGACUCCUCCGGGGGGCAGCAGUGGGGAAUAUUGCACAAUGGGCGGAAGCCUGAUGCAGCAACGCCGCGUGCGGGAUGACGGCCUUCGGGUUGUACACCGCUUUCGCCUGUGACGAAGCGUGAGUGCCGGUACUGGGUAAAGAAGCACCGGCUACCUACGU
rnacentral:rRNA from 1 species